UCCCCCAUGGUGUAAUGGCAACACAGCGGUCUUUGGAACCGUUAUUCGAGGUUCGAGUCCUUGUGGGGGAG
rnacentral:tRNA from 1 species